GAAUCGCACCCAUCCUUCAAGGGCCAUUGCAGCAAUCCCUCUCCCCAACCUGAGCAUACUGCUCUCAAGGUUCCCCCUAACCCCCAGUUCAAGGCCUUUGGCCUGUGAAUGGCCCUUACCAGAGUCAACAACUGGGCUCCACACCUUGUAGUAUCCAUAGCCAUCUCUGAGAGGACAACCCAGGGGUCGUUGGGGAAGUAGAGAUGUUCCUGACUCCUGAGGCCACCUGUUGCAGGUGAGGACUGUCUGGCUGAGUGUUGCAAAAGAUAGGCAGCCAAGGACUUCCGCACUAACGGGCCUGAGGGGUGGCUCCUGAAAUACCCUGCCUAGUGUCACAAGGUCAGGGCCAGGGCCAGGGCCAGGACAAAGAACCACGUGGGGUCGGGUUUGACAAAGGCCACAGGGACAGGGCUAUGAGACAGGAUGACAGAACACUGGUUGGACUUGCUGUGGAGAGGUUAAUGAGGUGGCUGGAGCCUGCCCACUCCCACCCCACCCUUCAGACUGGUUAAAGAAGAUGAAAAUCGGGCACCUCGAAACAGGUACUGGGAUCAUUUGUUCAAGACUUCGUGGAGGGAGCAUUCUAAGACUAAUCCCACCGUGAGUCAGGAAAGAACCUCAGAGCUGCUUCCGUGGGAAACAGAUGUGGUGGAGGCUUGGGCUACUGGCAGGUGAGGGAAUGUGGUGGCUAGUCUGCUUGUCUCUGAGAGCGGGAGGGGAUGAAGGUCUGGGGGAACUGUCAGGAGUGACACUGAGAAGCCGGAACUCUGCAUGGGGUGGGAAUAGGGCAGUGGGCAGGGCAUGGAAUGGGGGCGGGGCAGAGUGCAAGGCGUGCCGCGGGCGAGGGGGCGGGGCACGGAAUGGGGGAUGGGGCAGACUGCGAGGCGGGGGUGGGGGUGGGGAGAACACGGGGCGGAGCCUGGGGUGGAAACGGAGCGAGUCCAGGUGAGGAUCCGAGCGGUUCUGUCUUGAUGCCAAGUUCAUCUGCUCUGCUGCUGUCCAUUGCAGUUGUCUUUCUUCACUGAGAGCCCUGCCUCUCCAGGAGUCAUCCUUGCCUUCAGCCCCAUUCCAGGACAGUGGAGGAGACAUCUAGACUCAUGUCUUGAGUAGCUACCAGAUUUUCAGCCUCUCCAGGCACUAUUGGAUCAUCCAGACCAUAUGGUGUAAGCCACUCUAGUAAAUCCCUUUUUUUUUUCUUUUUUUCGGAGCUGGGGACCGAACCCAGGGCCUUGCGCUUGCUAGGCAAGGGCUCUACCACUGAGCUAAAUCCCCAACCCCUAGUAAAUCCCUUUUUAAUAUAUAAUUCUAUCAGUCAUGUUUCUGUAGAGACGAACAUGUGUGUAUGUGAGGAUAUAGGAAUCACGGUAAAAAAGAAAGGAAGGAAGGAAGGGAGGAAGGAAGGAAGGAAGUAGUCAGAAGUUCAGAUGUGGAGUCAGAUGUCUUAGACAUGCUUAGUGGAUGGAGAAUUAAGGGAAGUCAGGAGAGACAUGUGUCAACAGGUAAAGAUGAUCAUAAAAGCAUGGAAGGUAUUAAAAACUCAAUAGAAAUUUGAGGGCUUAAAAGUAUAACAGAAGGGGUUGGGGAUUUAGCUCAGUGGUAGAGCGCUUGCCUAGCAAGCGCAAGGCCCUGGGUUCGGUCCCCAGCUCUGAAAAGAAAAAGAAAAGGAAAAAAAAAAGUAUAACAGAUGUGGAAACAUCACUGAAGGGCUCAAAGGCAGAUACUUUAUUUUAUAUGUUGAGAUGUUUUAACAGCGUGUAUGUCUGUGUAUGUACCAUGUGUGUGCUGGGGGCCCUUAGAGGCCAGAAAGAUGGUGCUGGAUCCCAUGGAACUGGGCUUACUGACAACCUUGUAAGUCCCCAUGUGAGUGCUGGAAAUCAAACCUGGGUCCUCUGGAGGAGCAGUCAGUGCUCUUAACCACUGAGCCAUCUCUGCAGACUUUAAUCACAGGCUUUGAUGGGCCUACGUUAGAAGCAAGGAAGUUGGAAACCAAGCAAUUGGAAGUAAUUGGUCUGCGGAACAGAAAAAGGAAAGGAAGAGGAAAUGAAGGAAACCAACAGGACCCAUGAGACCCAUCAAACAUAUUAUCUUAAAGACAAUGGCUUCUAGAAGGAGGAGAGGGUGAUUGGGGCAGAGACUAGUUGGAGAAAUAGCAGUGAAACAGUUUCCAAGUAUAAAGAAAGGUACAGACAUACACAAGAGCUCCUAGCAGGAGAAACUCCAAGAGAUCCCAGUUUGGACACAUUGUAGUCACAGUGUCAAAAGGCAGAGACACUUGAAAUCUACUCCCGAAGAGUGAAGUGUGGCACACAAGGGAUCCACAGCUCCCGGAAACCGAGAAGCCAUUUGGCAUCAGAAGCUGGACAGGCCAGCCAGCAGCAUCUAACCUAGCACUGCCACUGCCUCCAAAGCUUCUCUCCAACAGAAAGGAAACAUUAAGAUACAGAUGAACCAAACCAGAUGGAUGAAUUCCCCUGUAAGCCUGCCCUACAGGAAAUGCUACAGGGAGACGUUCUAGACAGAAAGUUGGGAAAUGCCCUCUGGUUGAGAGGGGAUCCAGGGUGGGGUAGGACAGCAUAAGAAGAUAGAGUUGUGGUUCCUAUAAAGUCCUAGUCCAAGGAACCUGUGAAUAUGUCCCUUCACGUGGCACAAAUAACAGCACACAGCUGACGUCAUACUCAGCAGCAAAAUACUCACAUUUUUCUCCACUAAGUCAGGAACAAGGACAAGGAAACCACUUCUAAGCAGCACACUACUGAAAUGUCUAGCCAGAAUAAUUGGGGGAGGAAAAACAAAUAAAAAAUACCCAAACUGCAAAGGGCUGCAGUGCUGAUGUGUUUUACUCUCAGAGCCCAUAGGUAGAAUCCUACCAGUGGGAGGACCUUAGGGUGAGGCCUCUCAAAGCUCACUGGGUCACAAGGGCAGAGCCAUCAGGGAUGCAUCUAUGUAAGAGGUCCCGAGAGCUUCUCGACCUUGCACCGUAUGAUACUGAAAAUGAAUCAUGGGGAACGGGAUGUGACCACACGACAGCCUGAUCUUGGACUCCCCAGACACCAGACUGUGGAAAAAAGAUUCUGCGGUUUUCAAGUGGCUGAAUACAAAUUUUUCUUCAGUAUCCAAAUGGACCUUCAACUCUCUCUAAUUCAGAAGACGUCACUGUGUCUGUAGAAGGUCACAGAUGAUCCAUAAAAAUCCCUGAGUCAAUGCUCCCAGAGUUAAUUCGCCAGAGUUGCAGGAUCUAAAGAUCAUCACGCAAAGUUGUAUUUUUAUACACCAGCAGCAAGUGACCAGAAAAAAAAAUGUAAAAGUAACUCCAUUUACAUCAGCACCAAAAAAAACCAAAAGCUCCCUGAGAAUGAAGUAGUUGACAAUUGCAAAAUGUUGCUGAAAGGAGCGAGGGCAUCACAGCAAAUGGAUGACAAUAGCCCUGGGGGAACCACACUACCCCACGUGUGGAGAUCCACAGAUUCUCCACAGUCCCUAACUCUCCAAAUUAUGAUUUUUGCAGAAGUAAAAAAAAAACUUAUUUUAAAAUCAAUAUUGAACCUCAAAGAACCCUGAAUAUUAAAAACAAUUUUGAAAAAAAAAAAAAAACCAAAACACCAAAUAGUUCCAGUUUCAAAGUUACUACAAAGUGUCAUAGUAACCAAGAGUAUUAUGAUAGAUGUUGGCUUAAUGACAGACAGACAACUCAGUGGCAAAGAGCAGAGUGCACAGUAACAAUGUAUCCCUGCACAUGGCUUGAUUUUUGACAAAGGUGCUAAGAGAAUUCAGUGGAAGAAAACCAAUCCCUUUAGCAAAAGAUGUAGCAUAAAUUUGGUAUCCAUUUGAUACAUAAGAAGGAAGUUGAAUUCUUUCCCAAUAUCAUAAUAAAAAUGACCUUGAUGUGGACCAAAGCGUAGGUGGAAUCAGGUGGCAAUGUUAUAUAUGUGUGGAGAUAGCACAAUGAAAUCUUUGUACGCCAAUCAGAAGUUAAUUUAAAAAGAAAAGGAUUAAAAUUGUGAAAUGGGGCUGGGGAUUUAGCUCAGUGGUAGAGCGCUUACCUAGGAAGCGCAAGGCCCUGGGUUCGGUCCCCAGCUCCGAAAAAAAGAACCAAAAAAAAAAAAAUUGUGAAAUUAGAACAUUCUUGGAAGAUAUGGGCUACAUCUUGGAUUUAACAGUGGCCUCUUUUGAACUUCUUUCUGGUGUGGAGGAUCAAGUCUAGGUCUUUAUGACAGGCAAGUGCUCUACCACUGAGCCAUACACCCAGCCCUGGAAUAGCUUUUUUUUUUUUUUCGGAGCUGGGGACCGAACCCAGGGCCUUGCGCUUGCUAGGCAAGCGCUCUACCACUGAGCUAAAUCCCCAACCCCUUGGAAUAACUUCUUAAAUGUGACAUGAAGGGCACUGUUAGAAGAGGUCACAGAUCAAUCAGACUUCAUAAAUGUCCCGGUGCCAUGUAUGGUGACCUGUUCCAAUAGGCCUAGAGGCUCAGGAGACUGAAGCAGGAAGAUCGUUUGAACCUAGAGGCUCAAGGUCGAUCUGGGCAACAGAGCAAGAGCCCCAUCUUGGAUAACGACAGCAACAGACAACAGCCUUAGAAGGCAGAAGGGCACUAUGACGAGAUGGUUGAAUGGAAGAAAGUAUUUGUAAAUCUUGCAUCUAGUAAGGAACAGCUAAAUUCACAUUCACCAAUAAGAAAGAUUCUUAGAACCCAACAGCACCAACAAAAAGGCAAACAACCCCAUAUAUUGGGCAAAAGAUUAGGACCCUUUUCUGAAGACGAUUUAAGAACAGACAAAAAUUGCAUGAACAGACAUUGAUAGUCAUCUGAGGAAUGCUAAUCGUAACUGUGAAGCCCCCUCCCAUGCCCACUGAGACAGUUAUCUUAAAGGGGCCCGAGGAGGGGGCCAGAAAAUAGCAAGAGUUGUUGGCCAUGAUGAAGUAUUGGCAGAGGAGAGAGUUUAGAUCACUUGUAUGUAAAUGUGUAUGCAAAUUAAUAUGUAAGUGAGUAUGCAAAUACACACGCAAAUGUAUAAAUAAUUCCGUUUGCUGUGCAAAACAAGUUUGGUGAUUCAUUGUAAAUUUAAACAGAGGAUAUUGUACAACCUGGCAAUUGCACAUCUAAGUACACUCUCUUGAAAACCGGAAGUGGGGACUCAAACAAAUUCUUGUAUGCCAGGUCAGUCAUAGGAAUAUUAUUCAUAACAGCCAAAACAUAGACAUACCCCAACUUCCUACCCAUUGGUGAAUGACAGAAAAGGUGUCUGUGUAAACUGGGAAAUGCUAUCCAGCCAUGAAAAAGAGUGAUGUUUUGAUACAUGCUGUAACACAGAUCAACCUCAACAACAUUAUGAUAAGCAAAAUAAGCCUUAUAUAGAGAGAUAAAUGAUAACUCCUGUUUUGUAAAUAAAGAAGAAGGAAAUUCAUUGAAACAGAAGGAACAGUGCCUGCUAAGACUGUGGGGAAUAGGAAGUUAGUGGGUUUCUGAAUGGAAUGAUAAAACCAUUUUGGAAAUAGUGAGGAGGUAUGCAAUGUCGUUAGUGAUCAAUGCCACCAAAUUGUAGUUUUAAAAAUGGUUAAAAUGGACUCCGGAGGGAUGGCUCAGUGGUUAAGACUGCUUGCCGCUCUUCCAGAGGCCUGAAUUUGGCUCUCAGAACUCACACUAGGUGGCUCACAGUGAUCUGUAUCUCCAGCUCCAAGGGUUCUGACCCCCUCUUCUACACACACACACACACACACACACACACACACACACACACACACACACAGUUUAUGGUUACAAUGACAGACUUUACGGCAUCCAUAUUCCAUCACAAUAAAGGAGAGACUGACUAAAAAGCCUUCCAUUUUCAUCAUAAGCAGGGUUUUUACUUCCUUAAUCACAAUCUCGCUCUGUUCUCUCAGUCAGCAUUUCCCUGGCAGGGGCCUGGCAUGGUUACAGAUAUUACAGGUGCUGUGUGGGACCCAAACAGUGCCAGGACAGUUAAGUACUUCUUGACUGCUCUAACACUGGAGUUAUUCCCGAAGAAACCAUGGCAAAGGCUAGCCUUGGACUCCUCAGUUAAACAGAGGGGCUCACACUGGCUGAAGAUUAUGACUUCUUACCCCAGUGUGCUAUUCCACAUGCCUCUAAGUCCCUCUGUUAGGAGAAGCUAGAACUAAAAGUUAGGGUGAGAGGAACCAUUGGCAGUUUCUCAUGAAAACCCUACAGGCUUGGCUUGAAAAGAAGUCUUUGAUCAUUCAAACCAAAAGGUAACUCUUGGGACCCACAGUUUAUCGGUAGGCAGUGGGUCAUGAAAGGACGGUGUACACUCAGAGUCCCACUGUCUUCCAAAGGGGGUGCUGAGGCUGGGGAGGGUGUGAGCUCUUCACAGAGGACCGACCGAGACUGUUUGAAGGCUCAUGCCCAGGUCCUGCACGAUACCACACCUCAGUGCCAUGCAUCGGUUUCUCCCUCUUUCUCUUUCUGAGCGGAAGCUGACACUUAAGUUUGGUUCUUAAAUGUCCUCCCAAGGUCCAAUAGGGAUAGAGAACUCUUUACAUCAUGGGUGGGGUGCCCCAGGAGGGCACAGUGUGAGUCCAGCCCUUCCUCUUCUUUCUUUAACUUUCUAGCCGCAUGUCGCUUCAUGGCAAUCUCACAUCAGGACCGUGUCACAAGUCCCAAGGAGCAGGAUUAACUAGUCAAAAAUGGAGACAGUUUAAAAAUUGUGAGCUAAAGUAAACCUUUUCCUUUUUACAAGUUGAUUGUAUCAAGUAUAUUUAUGGCAGCGAUGGAGACCUAACGACGGUCCUCUAUCCAAGCUCCUAUUGGUGGAUUGUUAGUUUUUCAUUACCGAUUACCAGCAUGGUCUGCACGCACGGAGAGCCCUGUCUCCAGCCUCCCAGAUCCUGUGCUUUGCUUUGAAUUCAGGAACUGCAUUGGUGGAUGUGUAUUCUAUGUGUGAGAAGGAAGUGUGCAUGGGAAUGUGACACACAGGGGAAGCACACGGGGGAGCGGGCUAUGGAAGAGGUCAUUACCUGUGGCCCAAAUCCAUGACCCCUUUGUCCACUGUGGUGAGGAUGCUGAGCUCCUGGCUACUCUGUCUUUCUCAGCCUUCUUUAUAGCAAGCUGGCUCCAGAGAAUUUCCAGGUCCACACACUUAGGAAGAGAAUAUCUCUGCCCAACUUUCCCUGGCUAGACACAGGCAAUGAUUUGGCUUUAGGGACUGGGCACAGUCAUGGAAUUGAGGAGGUCUGGGUUCCCAACAAUGUGGAGAGUCUGGGCUGUCAGAUGUCCCACACUGACUUAUGCGAUGAGAAAUACAGUCUUACAUAAGACUGGUUACAGUAACGAGGUUUGUCCUAAUCAACACAGGGUCCAGGACUGAUGAUCAGCAAGAGAUUUGAACAGGAUAUAAGAUCAUUUAGUUUUCAAUACUGCUGAGUAUCGAGUUUAUGCUCAAUCUGAGUUAUGAAAGUGAUUUAUGUAUUUUAUCAGUCUGUCUGUCCGUCCGUCUGUCUACCUAAAUUCAUUGCAGUACUCAGGACAACUGUGUUCAGGAAAUACAGAACACUCCACACAUCCUUUGCACGGUCUUGCUAAUCUCCCCUGCCUUCUUCCAGCUUUAGUUACAUGGGCUACCUAAGCAAGAACUUCUAGAAACUGAUCUUUAACUUCCACGGAGCUUAGUGUCCAGCAAACAAGAGAGAAAUGGUUUAGUUGAAAUUCAAACUGGCGGCCUUUUCUUCCCCUCCUUGGGUACUGAAAGAUUGUUGUCAUCAUAGAUAACUUAGUAGCUGCCCAGGACAGGAAGUUCAUGACUAAGUGUUUACUACCAAGGGAACGAAUGGUCGUGGAUGUCCUUCCCCCAAGGAAGGCAACGGUACCAAACACGGACAUUAGCUCAUGCUAGUCAAAAUGUACACCGUCAAGCCAGUUGUCUUGGUAUUUGGACAAUGUGCUUUGCAAUUAUGCAUGAGCCUAACACAUGGCCUUUAUGAGAAGCAAAAGACCUUGAGAAAAACAGGAAGGGCCUCAGAACAGAGUAGGGUGGGGGUCCAGCUGCCAAGGCCAAUGGUGGUGCUGGCAGGAAGUGAGCUAGAAACUGGAUGGCAGCAGAUAGAGUGGAGCCUCUUCUGGGACCUCAUCCUCUGUAAUGGUGCCAGUGUCUGGAAAUAGGACCAGUAAACUAUAAACUUUAAAAAAAAAAAAGAAAAGAAAAAGAAACGGGAAGUACCAGUGGGCAUACUGUAGGCUCUUUGGAGAACAUAAGAGAGACUGUGGGUUCUUUUUUGUUUGUUUACGAGACAGGGUUUCUCCAAGUAGCACUGGCUAUCCUGGAACUCUCUCUGUAGACCAGACCUCAAACUCACAGAUAUCCACCUCCUGGGCGCUGGGAUUAAAGGUUUGUGCCACCACCACCCAGCUACUGUGGGUACUUUCGUGGUUUGUUUGUUUGUUUGUUUUGUUUUAGACAGGAUCCUACUAUAUAGCCCUGACUGUCCUGGAACUUAUUAUAUAGACCAGGCUGACCUUGAACUCACAGAGAUCUGCCUCUGCCUCCUGAGUGCUAAGAUUAAUGGAGUGUGCCACCGCACCGACGCUGAGGGGUUUCUGCUGGAUUCUGUUUCUUAAAGGUCUUGUAGCCCCUGUGUAGGAGAAAGCAGGGGAUGGAGGGAAGGGGGUUGGAGCAAUUCCGGAUGUGUGAGAAGAGACACCUCUGUCUCUGAUAGCUGAGACUUAAGGCGUGGAGUCCCCUGGUAAUAAAAGUAGAGUGGACAAGCAACAUCCAAAUGUAAGAGGUCCCUCACAGGCUGUGUUUGAACCCUUGGUCCCGGCUCUCUGCGCUGGUUUUGGGAGUGUCUGGAAGCUUUGGGUGUGACUUAGGUAGAAGUGGGUUGACACCUGUUUCUGAUUCCUGCCCCAUCUUUCGGAUCUGCCCAGAAGUGAGCAAACCCCAGUGUUCUCCCAGUGUCACAGGCAGGAGCCUUCCCACAUUCCCUGUGUUUCCCAUAGCCACGAGCCUAACCAAUCCUUCUUCCCCUCUGUGGCUCUGCCAAGUAUUUGGUUCCACUGUGGGAAAAGCAAUUGAUAAAGCAACCGGACACUCGGUUGUGAAAACGGAGAAGCUUAAAGAAGAUCCAGGGCAUGAAAAGAAAAUUGAAAGAAGUCAGUGAUGAUAAGAAAAAAAAUAGUGGGGUUGGGGAUUUAGCUCAGUGGUAGAGCGCUUGCUAGGCCCUGGGUUCUGUCCCCAGCUCUGAAAAAAAGAAAAAAAAAAUAAUACUCUAAGCUUGAUUGACAGACACAAAUUUGUUUUUAUUUGAAAUGGGGGAAAUGGGGUUUCUCAACGUUGCCUAGGCUAGUCUCAAAGUCACAAGCUUCAGUGACCUGAGACCCUAACCUCUACUCUCAGAUCCAAACCCACGUGUUUAAAAAGACCGCAAAAACAGUGAUGGGGAUGUGACUUAGUGGUUAAGAGUACUUGUGGCUCUUGAGGGGGAACUGGGUUCAAUCCCCAUCCCCCACAUGGUGGUUUGCUGACCUCUGUGGGUACAGGCACGCAUGUGGUACAGACACCUACGCAGGCAAAGCAUUCAGACCCUGGAAGUAAAAUAAAUAAACCUUUCUUAGAUUUUUAAAAGUUGGUUGGGGCUGGGGAUUUAGCUCAGUGGUAGAGCGCUUACCUAGGAAGCGCAAGGCCCUGGGUUCGGUCCCCAGCUCCGAAAAAAAAAGAACCAAAAAAAAAAAAAAAGUUGGGGUUGGGGAUUUAGCUCAGUGGUAGAGUGCUUGCCUAGCAAGUGCAAGGCCCUGGGUUCGGUCCCCAGCUCCGAAAAAAAAAAAAAAAGAUUUUUAAAAGUUAGGUUAUCACAGGCUGGGAGAUGGCUCGCUGGGCAAAGCACUUGCUUUAAUGGUUUGAAGACCGAAGUUUAAGUUUCCAUGAGCAGAACCCACGUAAACGCUAGAUGCCGAAAGUGAGAUGACCCCGGAUGAUUUUGAGGCAGAUACCCUGACCUGCACAACAGUGAUGGCAGGAUGGCAGCCAAGGCUGUCCUUUGACCUCUAAAUGUGUGUGGUAUUGAGAGGACCUAACUCACUCCGUUUUAGCAGGCAGCCAUAUUAGGCCUUAAGCUUCAGUUUUCCAGGUCAGCCUAGGCUUCUCAGGAAAAAAAAAAAAAAAAAACCAACAAAAACAAAACAAAACAAAACAAAAACCCCAACAACAACAACAAAUGCAGGAAAAGGGCAGCCAAUCAGCAACUGUCCCAACAUCUGGUCAGGGGCUUACAACAUAUAUGGGGAAAGUCCCUCUAAGGUAACCCUCUCUCCCUCGAGGUACGAACCAAUCAGAAGUGCACAAAUAUCCUAUAACAUAAACUCAACUAAUCCUGUAGAAGGAGCCCCAACCACAACUAGAAAACUCCCAACUGGCUUUAAAGGGGCCUGCGAACUUCCCUCAGGGUCGCCGUUCUGCUUGGAUGGUUGCCCCCCGCCCUGCAUGCUGGCUGUUUCUGCAGAAUAAACGCUCUCUCACACUGUCCGAGUCCGGGGUGUUCCUUCAGUAAUUCUCAGACCUUACAGCGCCAUGCAUUCUCCUGUAUUCUUUCUCCCUCUCCCUCUCUCUUUCUCUUUCAAAUAUAAUCAAAUAUAACAGAAAAGACUUUAAGAAGGAACUUUAAGAAUAAGAAAGGGAUUUAGUUCUAGAUGAAAGUUCUUAGAAGGCGCAGGAGAGUCACGUGUGACUUAUACCAAUGUAUUUCAAAAAUCAGAAGAAAUGGAAAAUUUUCAAAUAAUGUAAUUUGCUUAAAAAUUCACUGAGGAAGCCAAGCCAAGCCAAUAGUUGAAGUGUAGAGUGAUGUGGAAAUCUUCCUCUUUAUACAAAUGCCAAGCCCAGUUGCUAAACAAAAAAAAAACUAUGCUUAUGGGGCUAAGAGUAUAACUCAGUGGCAGGGUGCUUGCCUAGCAUACACACGUCUUCAAAACAACUAAAAAAUACGCUUAUGGAAGUCUUGCCGGUGACUUGGAACAAACGUGACUUAUUGAAUGAGCGAUGUCAUUCACUGUUGUCAUGAGGUUCUGUCUGUUAGGGAACGCAUGUGGCGGUAUGGAGGCGGGACAUCAUAUGCCUUGGUGUGACAGCAGGGUGGGAGAGCAGUUGUGGCUCUAACUCUGCACUUAUAUCUCCAGAACCCAGAAUCCAAGACCUGCCUGCCUACAAGAUCUGGAAGGAGGGGUGGUGCAUGUCUUUAGUUCAAGACCGACCCGGUCUACAGAGUGAGUGCCAGGACAGUCAGGGCUACACAGGGAAACCCUGUCUCAAAAGACCAAAAGAAACAGAUCUAGAAGGAGGGACAAAUGAACUGAAAUACCACAUAGCAGGAGUCAGGGUGAUGGGGGAGCGAUGCUGAGGGAUGGGGUACCACAUAGCAGGAGUCAGGGUGAUGGGGGAGUGAUGCUGAGGGAUGGGGUACCUACCACAUAGCAGAAGUCAGGGUGAUGGGGGAGCGAUGCUGAGGGUUGGGGUACCACAUAGCAGGAGUCAGGGUGAUGGGGGAGCGAUGCCGAGGGAUGGGGUACCACAUAGCAGGACCUGGGUGAUGGGGGAGAGAUACAGGGGGAUGGGACAUAGGGGGAGAGGGUGUGGGCACAGUUCAUGGAAACAAGUGUGGACUUGUGCCGUCAGGCUCCACGUAGAGUCACUUGCCUUGUCAAACAUGCACCUGGUAAAAGGACCGAGGCUAGGAGACACAAAGAACCUUGCCAACUUAGUAAGAUGAUAACACCCCUAUCUUAAAAGAAAAUGUCUCCAAAGAAUGUCCAGUGUAGAUACCAAAACACAUAUGCCAUCAUUAGUCAAAAGAUAAAUGGAAGUUAAGUCACACUGGCAUGCCACUGCAUGGUCCCAGGCAGGAGCAGGACCUGGGGGGACGUGCAUCAACGGGGCCCCUGUCCCUGUGCUGGGAAAGGCAGAGGAAAAGAGGUUGGGAGUUUCUUCUGAGGUUAAAAGUCUUACAUAGGGUCCUUCCACACAUCUCUCUCUCUCUCUCUCUCUCUCUCUCUCUCUCUCUCUCUGCUUGCCAAAUGGUCGCCCAUGUACAUGCAAAGACUUGUGCUAGGAUGUUCACGGGGGCUUCACACAUGACAGCUGAGGCCGGGAACAACCCAGGUGCUGACACGACUGAGCAGUGGGAAAGGGCAAAGGCCAGCUUGCUGCUGACGUAGCAAAGCUCCCUGCCAGGGAAAGAACCAGAUACAGCAGACUGUUUUACUUAUAGACGCUCUGGAAAGGCAAUUCUAAAGAGGGGGAAACAGGGAGAUUUUCGAGAACUGGAGCAGGAGAGGUGACUGUCAUUGUGGAGGCAGAACAGGGGCCUCUUGGAGUGAUGGAACAAGUCCUUUGUUGUUAUCUUGUUUUUUGAGAUAAGGUUUCUCUUUGUAGCCCUGGCGGCUCUGGAACUCACUCUGUAGACUAGGCCGGCCUCAAACUCAAUAAGACGCCUCUGCCUCUCUGUGCUGGGACUAAAGGUGUGCACCACCACUGCCCAGCUCAGUGGCAGGAGUCUUGAUGGUGAUGGUGCUUACAUUUGACCAAACUGCACCUAAAAAGAUGGCUUUAGGUUUUGGUUUGAGUUUUUGAGUUGAGGUCUCACUAUGGAGCUGAGGCUGGCCUUGAACUCCUCAGCCCCCUGUCUCCCCUUCCCAAGUGUCAGGAUUACCUAUGGCCAUCACCACACCUGGCUCAAAGAAGUGGAUUUCAUUUUAGUCAUAUUAUACACUUGGAAGGAAGAGCUGCUGAUGCUAGAGACAGAUAGGCAGUCUCCUGGGAAGCCUUUUGGGCAUUUAGGACCAUGGAAGCUGUCAUCCCAGCUCUGAUACUGGGAUGGAUGUCUUGGGAUUGGUAAAGGACUCUUUCUAGCUUUCUUCCAUGAGCAAUCUGUACCUUCAAAACUGCUGCCAGUUGUCAUCAGAUAGGGAUCUGAUGACAGACCCUGGGACAGAACUGCACAGGGAUUAGAAGACAAAUCUUUCCACCCACACAAGAUUUUCUGUUUUAAUGGGACCAAGGUGAUCUGAGCGUGGCCUGAAAGGCCUCUGGACAAGAGAGCCAAGGCUUCCUGGACUCGGGCUGGCUCUACUGAAUAGAAGAGAACAUUCCCUGAGAACAAAGUCCUGGCAGGAGCUCCUCUUCUCCUUCAUCUUAGAUCUUAGGGCAAACAUCAGCUGGUGGCUGUCACUCUUGGAGCCCGCACAUUGCUCUCUGUGUUUAGGGUCUUUGUGUUCUGUGAGACGGAGCCAGGGAGUGGGAUGCUGUGUCUCUUGCAGGUCCAGAUCGCCAGGCCUGGCCCCUUGUGAGUACCCAGUGCUCAGCGAUGGCCCAUCCAGAGGCUAAUGCAACCUGGAGAUGUGCCGGCCACUGGCCUCUGGUCUAACUUGUCUGAUAUCCUGUGACUUAGAACUGCUGUGUCCUUGGGCUCGCCUCUUGCUGUGGUGCUCUUAAGGGUGGAGCAGACACUGUUUUUGUUCCUUAAAGAGCUAGUAUCUCUUCCUGCCUGACCACAGGCCCUUCAUUCUGAUCAGGGUCAGGCAGGAAUAUGCCCAGCUUUGGGCCCAAACCUGCGUGGCUGGUCCUUACUGUCCAAAUCUGCUGGAUUUGCUUUCUAGACCUUGAGAUAUCCGGUGAUGGAAGCCUCUCCCUUGUAGGGAUGGAGCGAAGUCCUGUGUGGAUGCACCACACUGUUGCUAUGUCAAGGACCCUAGUGUCUCAGCCCUAUUGGAUCAGAAAAGUCUUCCCUGGGUAAGGCCCAGAGCAAUGGCGGUCUUCCUCUGGUCCACAUAUGGAUACUAAUCGUUUGUGCAGAAAAUAUCCUCAGUCCAUUUUCCCCCAGAUAUUUCUUUUCUUUUCUUUUUUUUUUUUUUUUUUUUUUUUUGGAGCUGGGGACUGAACCCAGGGCCUUGCGCUUGCUAGGCAAGCGCUCUACCACUGAGCUAAAUCCCCAACCCCUUCCCCCAGAUAUUUAGCAUAUGAAGACUGCUCCCCUCUUGAGACUGCUCCUACUCAGAUCAGCCGAACCUACCUUCUUGUUCAUCUGUAUGCAAUGACUGACUCCACCUCUGUGCUUAACUGUGCACUGAGCUCCUGGGGUGCUGAGGGUUCUCCAUCCAGGCACCCAGUACACCAGUGCACCCCAUCCCAGCUUUUCUGAAUGUCCGUGUGUUUGUCUUUUCUUCAGUUCCUCUCUAACCUAGCCAGGUCAAUCUCUGGAGCCAUAGAAGGGUGAGACACCAUACACUUUUGCUUCUGAGUUGCUUGGACUGUUUGUGCCCGUGACACUUGUGGUCCAUCCGACAGCCAUGAGGGGAAAGUCAAGAGAGUCAGGAAAGCUAACCUAAGUCUUUCUGAGACUGAAAAACACGGGCCUCUGGGCUGUUGGCCAGGUAACAUGACAAACCUUCCGAUGUGCUCAGUUUAAUUGGGUAUCUGGAACAGCACAACAUCCCUAAUGGACAGAGCAGCAAUAACAAGUCAUCCCUAGGCUUCAGGGAGAGGGUGUCUAAGUGAAUGGAAACAGGGUGAAGUGGGCAUCAGAGGGGACCCUGGGUGGAUCAGGAGGGAAGAGGCCGGGAGCUCUAGUGAGGGAGGAAAGAAGGGCCCCCUGCAAGGAGAUGGAGCCCCAGUGUUAUGCCAGAAGAGGGCAGGCAAGGAGCUCUCCAGGAAGAAGGCCUAAGGGGAGGUUUUUGCUGUGUUCUGUCUGCUUUGUAAACACUCCAACCAGACAGCACGUGAGGGAGCUCAGCAGAGAGCACUAGCUUUGAGUUACUCUUCUGUUGUUGAGAUAAAUCAACCCUGACAAAAGCAGCUUAGUGGAAAAAGGGCUGAUUGAUCCUGGCUUGCAGCCCAAGGGAUAUGGUCCUUCACGGUGGGAAGACAAGGCAGUAGGCUGGGAUAGUGUGGAGACAGAAGCCGGGGCUGGCUAGUCACAUUGUAUCCACAUUCAGGAAUCUGAGGGUAAACAGAAAAUAGGACAAAGCCCACUCCCAGUAACCAGCUUCCUUCAUGGAAACUCCACCUCCUAAAGGCUCCACAACCUUCCCAAACAGUGCCACUAGCUAGGGACCAGGUGUUUAAACAUAUGAAGACAUUUCACAUCAUACCACAGCAAGGUCCUCCCUAAACCACCAAGUUCUGCUCAUAGAAUUCUAUCUCUAGCCCAAGAUUUGCUUUCUCUGCCAAGUUGCCCCCAAGCCCCUGGAGACAUCCAAUUCUCCAGAUCCAUGGAAGUCACUCUGCCCACUUCCAAGAGGUUAAAGUUCUCCUAGAUGGCUUAAUGGAAUGGGCUGUACCACACCUAAAUGUGUUGAAGAAGCUAUCUGGUCUACCUGCUGACUUUCUCUAGAUAAUCUCAGCCAAGGUGGCCUCAGACUUCCUGAAUGCUCACGACAUUUGCAGCCAUUUAAAAAUGGAGUUGGGUGGUGGUGGUGCUGCUGCUGCUGGUGCUGGUGGUGCUGUUUGUGGUGGUGGUGCUGGUGGUGCUGGUUGUGGUGGUGGUGGUGCAUGCCUUUAACCCAGCACUCAGGAGACAGAGGUAGGUGGAUCUCUGAGUUUGAGGCCAGCCUGGUCUACAGAGUGAGUUCCAGGACAGCCAAUGCUACACAGGGAAACUCUGUCUCAGAAAAAGAAAAAAAAGAAUGUGUGUGUGUAUGUGUGUGUGUGUGUGUGUGUGUGUGUGUGUGUGUGUGUGUGUUUGUGUGUGUGCGCGCGCGUGCGCGUCCACACGCAUGCGUGUGCGCUUCAUGCAUGCCAUGGUAUGCCUGAAGCUGAGAACGACUUUCAGGAGUCAGUUCUCUCCUUCCAUCAUAUUGACUCUGGGGAUCAAACUCAGGCCAUUAGACCUGUCAGCAAGUUCCUUUCUCUACUGAGCCAUCUCACUGGCAUUGCCACCAUAUUGUUAGAGACAAGGUUUCUCGCUGAAUCUAGAGCUUGCCGGUUUGGCAAAAAUAACUUGUCAGUAAGCCCCAGGUAUUCAAUCCUUCUGCCUCCAACUUCCCAGCUCUGGGAUUUCAGGUGUAUGGCACCAGACUCGGGCUUUUAUUUGGGUGCCCCGGUUGCAGACUUGGGGUCCUUAUGGUUUCUCAGCGAGGACUUUACUAACUGAGACAUCUCUUCAGCCCCCAUUGCAGCCAGUUUGAAAACGUGUUCGGGAGCUAAUUUACCGAUGGCAGGAUUACUCCAGUGUUAAAGUGAGAGAAAGUACGAUGCCCACCCAUGAACUAACUAUCACCAAACGCUCUCUAGGUAAAGCAGGUCACUAAAUAUUUACACACGACACAAAGCAUUUUAAAAGUCAUUUUCCUCGUUACUUAACUCUUGUUAGUGUCUAUAAUGGGCAUGCAUUUGUGUUUGAAUAAUCAUCUCGGUCACUGAAAAUAUUGCUGUGGAUACCGUGGUACCUGCUAAACAAUGGCCCCUCCCUAAAGCACUGGGACAGCCACUAACAGCUCACAAACAUGGUGAGUCCUCCUGACACCUGCUCUACACAUGGAAUUGGCUCACCCAGGAAGACUUGAGGAGUUACUCUUUCCUUUUUUUUUUUUUCUUUUCUUUUUUUUUUUUUUGGAGCUGGGGACCGAACCCAGGGCCUUGUGCUUGCUAGGCAAGUGCUCUACCACUGAGCUAAAUCCCCAACCCCGAGUUACUCUUUCCUUAAAUGUGGCAAAGAAAAUAGAGUGCCCAUGGGGUGCUUAUGUCUAUCUGAAGUACAAACCUAACUAGGCAUCCUAAUUUGGGUAUCCCCUUUUGCAGGGGCCCCAGUAACCAGUGGCUAUAGGAGUGCAAAGGGCUGGGCCUGCCUCAGAGGGGCUCCUAAACCACACAUACCAGAGCGGUCCUGACAAUCUGCCCAUGACAACAUUUUUUUUCCUUCAACAUGAGGCUCCAUCACUGGCAAUAGAAGGAGCACUGAGAAUCCUUGGCACACAGAAACAGUCCGAUGUCAAGGUUGUUUAUGAGAGCAGGCCAGGUGUAUACACAUACACAAACACACAUACACACACAUAUACAUACACACACACAUACACAUACACAUACAUAUACACAUACACCUACACCUACACAUACACAUACCCAUACACAUACACACACACAUAUACAUACACACACACAUACACAUACACAUACAUAUACACAUACACCUACACCUACACAUACACAUACCCAUACACAUACACACACACACACAUACACAUACCCAUACCCAUACACAUACACAUACACAUACACACACACAUACACAUACACAUACACACACACAUACACAUACACAUACACAUACACACACAUACACAUACACAUACACAUACACACACACAUACACAUACCCAUACACAUACACAUACACACACACACAUACACAUACACAUACACACACACAUACACAUACCCAUAAACAUACACAUACACACACACAUGCAUAUACACAUACACAUAACCAUACACAUACAUACACACACACAUACACAUACCCAUACCCAUACACAUACACAUACCCAUACCCAUACCCAUACACAUACACAUACAUAUACAUAAGUUGACUCCUGUCUCCAUGGAUUCUGCGUCAGUAGGUCUUUCUUCUGUAUUCAGGAGCUGGAAGACUCCAUAAACCCUGAAGGUAAUUCCUACUUCAGAGCCUUCGUAGGACAAACAACCAAGGGAAAAUAUUCCUUCCUGCUGAGCCUUCCCCAUGCAAGUUUCUCAGAAAGGCAACAUUGAACAGGAAGUCUGGAGAUGUGCAUCCCAUUUGCAGCGUACCAAAGACCGGCCUAUGGCAGGAGCUCCCUCCUCUCACACACCCAGCCCCGUGCACACACAGUGGGCCAUGCGGGAGACUUCUGUAUGAAAAGCAAAGGCUGUGACCUAGGACGGGUCUGAGCACACCCCACCAUGUUCCUUUGUCCCUAAUUCUGUCCUCCAUGUGCUUACUUUUCACUAAAACUCUGUGUGCAAAGUUAGCUUUCCUUAUCCUUGUAAGGGAUGCUUCCAAGACCCUCAGAGGACACGUGAAGACCUGGGAGACAAAGGGUGCCAUUUAUAUAAUGUUUCUCCUAGGCACUCAUGCUUGUCAUGAGCUUUAGUUUAGAAAUCUGGCACAGUAAGAGAUUAACGGUGAUAAUUAAUAAUAAAACAGAACAAUUAUAGCAAUACCCCAUGCUAAGUGUUCUUUUAUUUUUUUAUUUUUCGGAGCUGGGAACUGAACCCAGGGCCUUGUACUUGCUAGGCAAGCGCCCUACCACUGAGCUAAAUCCCCAACCCCUAAGUGUUCUUUUAAAAUAUACUGCUCUGCCAUGUCUCGCUUUUCCCGUGAGGAGAGAUGAUGAGUGCCUGUGUCAUGAGAUGAGCCGAGGGGAGGACACUAGGCAUCGUGGAGCAGUUAGGCUACUGCACAAACGUUACUUGAACGCCAGGUUGAGAUAUUUGCCAGUCAACCUGAUAAUGCAGAUAGCUUCUAAAUGGCUACUGGGCAGGAAGUAGACACACCAUGUACUAUAUAUUAAUGUAUAGUAAAUUGUGGGUACACUUGACAAGAGUAGGAUUUACAAAAGAGGGAUGUGAGGUGUUUCAUCCUACAAUACAGAGCAACAUACAGUUUUAAGCCUCUUUUAGGGGCUGGAGAGAUGGCUCAGCACUUAAGAGUACAUAUUGCUCUUGCAAAGGACCAGAGUUCUAUUCCCAGUACCGAUGGGGGAUGGGGGGCUCACAACUCCAGGGGAUCCGAUGUCUUCAUCUAGACUCCGAGGGCACUAGGACUCAUGUGUGCACAUUCACAGACACAGUUAUACAUAAGUAGAUAAUUAAAAGUAAAAAGUGAAUCUUUGAACCUCCUUGUUAGCUUGUUUAUGGAGUUUCCUGCAUAUUAUCUUUGGACUGCAGUUGGCCACAGGUAAAAGAGAUCAUAAACUGACACGGCCGGAGAGGGCGUGGCACAGACUUGAGCAUAUCUAUUGCUGACAAGGGAAUGUUCUUAGAUGCAGGGAGCUAAUAAAACAUAAGGGCAACAGGACCAGAGGGCGAAUUAGGGAAGAGGUUGUGACUGAGGGGGGAUCUUAAGCUGGGAGACAGGACAGUGUAAGAGGCAGGGUCAUGACUUCCUAUAGAUGUCCCAACCCUUGGGACCUGCGAAUCUGUCACCUUAUGUGGUAAGGAAGGCUUGGAAGAUAUGAUCUAGUUAGUGACUUGAGAUGUGGUGAUCCCACAUUAUCUGUUCAGGCUGGGGCAGAAGGGGACAAAGAUUAUAUGAUGGUCACACAGGUGAGAGAGAUGCAGAGGCCAUCAUCGAAUAUGGAAGGAAGGGUACAGGUGCCUAGGAAUUUGUCUGUAGGAGUUUGACAGGAAGGGAAAUGACAUCUUCUACGGCACCCAGAAGGGGCCGGUCCUGCCAAUAUCUUUAUUUUAACCCUAGGAGAUCCAUUUUAGAGUCUAGAACUUUAGCAUAGCAAGUGUGAAUUGUUUUGUUUUGUUCUUUUUUUUUUCCGGAGCUGGGGACCGAACCCAGGA